rnacentral:lncRNA from 1 species
GUCAGGAAAGCGGCCUGAGCUGGGGAGUCAGGACCCACGCAGCCCUGGAGGGUGGCCUGACUCUCCCCUACUUAUGCAGAUGGGGAAACUGAGGCUCGGGGCUUAAGAGGCCUGUGGAGAUUUUGCACACCGCCUGCAGGAAGGGCGAAGGUGGGCGUGGAGGAGGGAGAGCUGGGAGGGAGGCGGGCAGCAGCUGCCUGUGUCCCCAGCGCUAGUCCACCACGAGGGUCUCCUGGCUGUAGGGGACGGACUUCUCCUGCAUCUGCCCCCGCCCUUGUCCCCCGACGGCCCCCGGGCCCUGGCUAUGCCCCGAGGAGUAGCUGGCGGACUUGUCCCCGCUGCCGCUGCUGUGGAAGGGGACCCGCAGAGGGGCCUGGCCCCAGCAGAGCACCGGGCGGCGCAGGCCUGGCGGAAGCGCGGGUCGAAGAAGGCGCAGAGGAAAGGGUUGAGGCAGCUGUUGACGUAGCUGACGCAGGUGCAGUAGGGGAAGAUGUUGAUGAGGAAGAUGUCGAAGUCGCAGGGCCAGUGCAGCAGACUGCCCAGCACAUAGAGCGUCUUGACCAGGUGGUAGGGCAGCCAGCAGAGAGCGAAGGUCACCACCAGCACCACGAUGAUGCUGAGCAGCCGCCGCCGCUUGUGCAGGCCCUCCACGCGCUCCUUGCGGAAGUGGCCGGCGAUGGUCUUGGCUAUGAAGAAGUAGCAGGUGAGCAUGACGGAGAAGGGGAGCACGAAGCCCAUGGCCGUGGACUGACACGCCCAGCCCCACCUCCCACGCCCACUCGGAGUCGGCCGAGCUGGCCACCACGGAGUAGUUCAUGUAGCACUGCAGGCUGGUGCCGUUGUCCGGGCUCCCCGUCGUCGCAGCACCAUGACCCGGCACAGCCAGCAGCGCUGCCAACACCCAGAGCACCGCGCUGGCCACCGCCCCGCUGACCCGAAGCCGCAGCGGGGCGCUGGCCACCGGCCUCACGAUAGCCAGGUAGGCGGUGAAGCUCAGGCCGGUGAGGCAGAAGACGCUGGCAUACAUGUUGACCCGAAGACCAGGUAGCUGCUGAGCCGGCAGGAGAAGGCGCCGAAGGGCCAGUCGUAGUCCCGGUAGGUGUAGGUGGCCCACAGGGGCAGCGUCACCACGAAGGCGAGGUCGGCCACCGCCAGGCUGGCGAUGAACACGUCGGCCGAGCGCCGCUGCUCACGGCCGCUCCCGGAACACCGUCCACAGCACCAGGCCGUUGCCCGCGGUGCCCAGGAAAAGACCAGCAUGUAGAUGGCAGGGAGCAGCUCCCCGGAAGACCUCCACUCCGCGUACUCGCACUCCGACUGGUUGUCAGCCCCGUAGUAGCUGUCGAAGUCGCAGCCGCCCCCCGUGCAGGGCUCCGGGGAGGACGCGGCCAGGGCUCCAGGGGUCGCCAGCGCCAUGGCACUGCGGGCUCUGCCGACCCAGGCCUGCGGAGCAGCCCAGGCACGGUCCCCCCGCGGCCGCGGUCCCUCCAGCCUCUCCUGCCGGCUCCCGAGUCCUCCGCCCGCGCCCACCCCCGGCGGCCCCUCACUCCCGACCGGAGCGCUCGCCGAGUCUCGUCCUUCUGCCCCCUCUUCUUCCCCUGG